GGCGGCGUGCUUAACACAUGCAAGUCGAGCGGAAAGGCCCUUCGGGGUACUCGAGCGGCGAACGGGUGAGUAACACGUGAGCAACCUGCCCUAGGCUUUGGGAUAACCCCGGGAAACCGGGGCUAAUACCGAAUAUGACUUCUGGUCGCAUGACCGGUGGUGGAAAGUUUUUCGGCCUGGGAUGGGCUCGCGGCCUAUCAGCUUGUUGGUGGGGUGAUGGCCUACCAAGGCGACGACGGGUAGCCGGCCUGAGAGGGCGACCGGCCACACUGGGACUGAGACACGGCCCAGACUCCUACGGGAGGCAGCAGUGGGGAAUAUUGCACAAUGGGCGGAAGCCUGAUGCAGCGACGCCGCGUGAGGGAUGACGGCCUUCGGGUUGUAAACCUCUUUCAGCAGGGACGAAGCGUAAGUGACGGUACCUGCAGAAGAAGCGCCGGCCAACUACGUGCCAGCAGCCGCGGUAAUACGUAGGGCGCGAGCGUUGUCCGGAUUUAUUGGGCGUAAAGAGCUCGUAGGCGGCUUGUCGCGUCGACUGUGAAAACCCGCAGCUCAACUGCGGGCCUGCAGUCGAUACGGGCAGGCUAGAGUUCGGUAGGGGAGACUGGAAUUCCUGGUGUAGCGGUGAAAUGCGCAGAUAUCAGGAGGAACACCGGUGGCGAAGGCGGGUCUCUGGGCCGAUACUGACGCUGAGGAGCGAAAGCGUGGGGAGCGAACAGGAUUAGAUACCCUGGUAGUCCACGCUGUAAACGUUGGGCGCUAGGUGUGGGGGGCCUCUCCGGUUCCCUGUGCCGCAGCUAACGCAUUAAGCGCCCCGCCUGGGGAGUACGGCCGC
rnacentral:rRNA from 1 species